UGUUGGUUGGUUGGUUGGUGGGCAGGCGGGCGGGCAGGCGGGCGGGCGGUCGGUCGGUCGGUCGGUCGGUUGGUUU
rnacentral:pre_miRNA from 1 species